UCCAUGUUAUCAGAGCUGCACUCUAUUU
rnacentral:sRNA from 1 species